UAACUUUUAAUAUUAAAGAAUGAAAUUCAAUUCUAAGUGAAGAUUUUAAAACCUUUAUUGUUUGUUUUGGACACUUAAACUCCUCCUCGUCAGGUGACUCAUGAAAGUGAAACUAUUACAGCAGGUGUGUUUUGUCGUAUGAGGAAGUAAACUACAUUAAGAGAGAAAAACACAAUGAAACCAUGGCCUCCAGAAUGAAUCUCUCUGAAAAACAUGACACACAGAUAAAAGACAGUCAAGAGUCUGUGUCAGAAUGAAUCUCCUGAACCCAGCUGUGUGUCCAUGAAGAGUGACCGGUCAAUGGGUCUUCCAAUUCACUUCAGUUCGGGAGACACAUCUGCUGAUCU